ACAUAUACGUGAUGUAAACAGUUAGCUCUAUUGUUUUUGUAAAAUGCCUGUCCAAAUAUGAAUCUAUAAGCAAGCUAAUAUAAUUAUGCUAAGCGCUAGCUUACUAAAAGAGCUAAGAUAGCAGCAACUAUUGCUAAUUAUCCCUGAGCUGCUCCUGUUAUGUGCUAAAUGUUACAGAUGGUUAACGAAUUGUUGUAUGUAGUUUAUUGGAGCGCCUGAGUGCCAUAUAAUGUAUACUGCUGUAUAAUGUAGUGGUUUUAUCAUAGCUAGAGAUCUUCUGAAUAGUUAGUUAUGUGCUUACACAAUGUAUGUAACAGUCAAGAAAAGGGGCUUUUGUUCAGGUUCUAUCUAUUCUAGUCAUUAAAGUCAUUAAAUAUAUGUUUAUACUCCUUAUAAUAUGUAUGAUUGUGUGUUUUUCUUCUCACAGUGAACUGUGUGUAAAUCAUCAACUGCCUGUGUAUCAGCUGAUUUCUACACCAGCUUUACAUCCUGAGCAGAAGAUUGUCGUGGAGAGGACGGACCCUUGAUGCUCUGCCUUUUUGCACCAACAAUACAUACAUGUAUUUUAUUAAUUUGUAAAUAAAGUCUUUAAUAUAA